UGGGAAUUUUGGACAAUGGGCGAAAGCCUGAUCCAGCAAUGCCGCGUGUGUGAAGAAGGCCUUCGGGUUGUAAAGCACUUUUGUCCGGAAAGAAAUCCUUGGCUCUAAUACAGUCGGGGGAUGACGGUACCGGAAGAAUAAGCACCGGCUAACUACGUGCCAGCAGCCGCGGUAAUACGUAGGGUGCAAGCGUUAAUCGGAAUUACUGGGCGUAAAGCGUGCGCAGGCGGUUUGCUAAGACCCGAUGUGAAAUCCCCGGGCUCAACCUGGGAACUGCAUUGGUGACUGGCAGGCUAGAGUAUGGCAGAGGGGGGUAGAAUUCCACGUNUAGCAGUGAAAUGCGUAGAGAUGUGGAGGAAUACCGAUGGCGAAGGCAGCCCCCUGGGCCAAUACUGACGCUCAUGCACGAAAGCGUGGGGAGCAAACAGGAUUAGAUACCCCUGGUAGUCCACGCCCUAAACGAUGUCAACUAGUUGUUGGGGAUUCAUUUCCUUAGUAACGUAGCUAACGCGUGAAGUUGACCGCCUGGGGAGUACGGUCGCAAGAUUAAAACUUAAAUAAUUGACGGGGUCAU
rnacentral:rRNA from 1 species